GGCUGGUCUGAAAAUAGUGAGUUAUCUCAAUUGAUUGUUCACAGUCAGUCACAGAUUGAAUUCCUCGCUCCCCCUUCUUACUAAUACACUUGACUACUCUGAA
ensembl:misc_RNA Y_RNA Y RNA